UGGGGAGGAAAGCAGGGGAUCGCAAGACCUUGCGCUUUUGGAGCGGCCGAUGUCUGAUUAGCUAGUUGGUGAGGUAAAGGCUUACCAAGGCGUCGAUCAGUAGCUGGUCUGAGAGGACGACCAGCCACACUGGGACUGAGACACGGCCCAGACUCCUACGGGAGGCAGCAGUGGGGAAUUUUGGACAAUGGGGGAAACCCUGAUCCAGCCAUGCCGCGUGAGUGAAGAAGGCCUUCGGGUUGUAAAGCUCUUUCAGCCGGAACGAAACGGUCACGGCUAAUACCUGUGAUCACUGACGGUACCGGAAGAAGAAGCACCGGCUAACUACGUGCCAGCAGCCGCGGUAAUACGUAGGGUGCAAGCGUUAAUCGGAAUUACUGGGCGUAAGCGGC
rnacentral:rRNA from 1 species